rnacentral:lncRNA from 1 species
UGAAUGAGUGGAUUUAGUGUUUUACUGUAGUGAUAAACUAAGUUUAUUUUCAAUAGAAAAGGAAAUAAUAGAAAAAAAGAAUGGUAAAUCAGUCAAAAUUCUCAUAUGCAAUCAUUAAGCUUAGGUGAUAUUAAAAAUUUCGCUAUUAUAUCCAAAACAAAUAGUAACUGAUGGAGAUGGGUAUGAUUUAUUUUUAACUGUCAAGAGCGGAAGAGAAUUUGCAUUUGAACACGAGAGGGUCGAGGAUGGGCAAGAAAAGUUGAAAGUGGCAAUCUAGUCAUAUUUCUAAAAGUCGUCCUAAAUUAUCUUAUUUGAUAGCAAAAUUCAACGUUGACCUCUAAUAUUUAAAUACCAGACUUGGGUUAAAGUUAGAUAACUAUUAAUUUAUAUAAAACUUCUCAUUUAUUC